rnacentral:rRNA from 1 species
AUUGAACGCUGGCGGCAGGCUUAACACAUGCAAGUCGAGCGAGCGGCGGACGGGUGAGUAAUGUCUGGGAAACUUCCUGAUGGAGGGGGAUAACUACUGGAAACGGUCGCUAAUACCGCAUACCAUCAGAUUUGCCCAGAGGGGAUUAGCUAGUAGGUGGGGUAAUGGCUCACCUAGGCGACGAUCCCUAGCUGGUCUGAGAGGAUGACCAGCCACACUGGAACUGAGACACGGUCAAGACUCCUACGGUAGGCAGCAGGGGGGAAUAUUGCACAAUGGGCGCAAGCCGGAUGCAGCAAUGCCGCGUGUGUGAAGAAGGCCUUCGGGUUGGAAAGCACUUUCAGCGAGGAGGCGUUACUCGCAGAAGAAGCACCGGCUAACUCCGUGCCAGCAGCCGCGGUAAUUC